rfam:Sus scrofa chromosome 6.
UCCCUGGUGGCCUAGAGGUUAUGGAUCCAGCACUGUCACUGCUGUGGCUCAGGUUCAAUCCCUGGCCAGGGAA